UCUUACUUGGUGAAUGCUGCUGCCUGUUGGGUUUGCACGUUGUUUUGGGUUUUGAGGGUGAGAGGCUGGUUCACAGAAGAGAUUUGAGGCUGGGUUUGCCUGACUUCCACUGACAGAAAGCCAGGCUGCAGAGAACUGGGCACUCACUCAUCCUGGGGAGGGAGGGCUCCAUGAUGGGGCCUGAGCAGCAGAAACAUUGGAAAACAGACAAACAAGUUUAAAUUUUUGAUAGAAUAAAAAUAAAAAAUAGAUCUUUUCUUUCUUUCUAGUCAAAAUAAGAGAAGAGAUUACAUUCAAAGGACUGUGGGGGAGCUUAAGGGAGGAGCUGUUCCAUUGCUUUCCUUAAAUUGGCUCACCUACACUCGCAUCUUGGUAUGAAACCUUGCCUGGUGAGCUCAGGAGGACAAGGAGGGAAAAAAAUCUGCCAUAGCACAUAGACAUAGAUGAUGAGUUCACAGAUAAUGUCACAUGGAGUUAAGUAUUAUGCCAUCUUUAUUCUUUCAGGAAUUUGGUUGGUAACAUUAAGAAAAUAUUCCUCCAGCACCUGGAAUGCCCUUCCUAUUGUCCUUGGUGUCCCAAGGGCUUGGCAACGGUCACAUGAAGCCAGAAUUGAAGGCUUGCGUGGUGGCCCUGCUGCUAUCAACUGCUGAGGGAGCUUGGGAACAUCUAUUGUCUUUGGUUCCCAAUGUCCUCGUCGGUAAGAUAAGAUUGCAGAACUGAUGUCAGUGGAAGUAAUGAAUGAUGUUGCAACACCUGGACAUACAACAGGAAAUAGAUGAUAAAGCCCCAGCUGAAGAAGAUUCUUCUCACCUGGCAAAUACUCAAGUUCCCAAAGCUAUGGUGUCUGCCAGAUCUAGCUUGAAUCUGAAAAGCAUUUGUUUCUAGCAGAAUACAAGGUCAAUAUACAAAAAUCUAUUCUAAUGUCUGUAUAAUUUCAAUGCACAAUUAAAAUAUGAGUAAUCGUAGUGUUGGCGUGUUGAGUUUGUUCUCUUUGGUUCCUGUCCCUACCGCAACAAAGACUUGAAGGUCAGAGACAUAGUAGUGAAGCAGAAUGAAAGUUUUAUUCGAAUACACUCCAAAGGAGGAACAGGUUAGAGUCAAGAUAGGUAAAUGCAGGUUUUACUUGAAUAAAGCAGAGAAGACAGAAAAAUGGAGGGAGGAAAGGGAAGCUCAUUGAACUACU